GUUUCAGUACAGCACUACAGGGAGAGACGGGUAGAGGGCAAACUCCACUAAACCCGUUUCAGUGUGUGGAAUCACUCGGGAGUUUCUGGAAGACGGCGAUUAUUGGAGGAUUUAUUUUAGUCUGGCCAGCACCGGACACAUGCAGCAGUGUUAUACCUCUCUUUUGGAUGAGGGUGACAUAUGGCUGGUGGACAUGGGAUCCAGAGUGACAGCUUCCUGUUUACAAGCUGCCCAGAGACUUCUGUAGUAGCAGGGGGUGUGUUAGAGAGACACUGCUUGGGCUGUUUUGAAGAGAACAGGGGACCUUGGGUACGACACAAUCUUGUUCCUUUUGGAUCUGGAGCAGAUCGAUAUGUCAGCCAUAACUCCGUUCUACCGCACCCGUGCGUAGAUGGACAAUGGAGGAUCCAUUGUUUUAUAACCCACUUAUCUGGACCAGAGUCCUGGCCUCUACCACCUUUGUGGGCCAGGCUUGUAAGAGUUGAGUUCACUAAGUUGGGUGACCUGCAAGAAGAGGCUUGGUGGAAAUCUGCCAGCAACAUGGUGGAGGUUUUCUCCAUAAAGUCCACCAGGCUGCUGCAGCAGGUGGUGGAAGGGGUCCGUGCUGCACCACCGAGAGCUGCUGCGGAGUAGGCGGUCCGAGGAGCCACCACGCCGGACACCGAGUGACCGACCACUUACCUGAGAGGCCUAUCAGUUGUAUUUGUCCCAUACCCGAUCCCCCAACGUUCAUGAAAGAACAACUUUUGUUUGAGCACCAGAAAUCGGUCUCCCACUGUCUUAUUUUAUUAGCGACAUACAGGAGCAGUUGGGUUUAAGUGCCAUGCUCAAGGGUACAGACAGAUUUUCCACCUACUCGGCUAAGGGAUUUGAACCAGUGACCACUCUAGUUAUGAGCCCAAUGCUCUUAACCACUAGUCUGCAAGGUCUUGUCUCAUUGCUGCAACUCCCCAACGGGCUCGGGAGAGGUGAACGUCGAGUCUUGUGUCCCCCGAAACAUGACCUGCCUAACCGCACUUCUUAACACGUGCCCGCUUAAACUACACCAAUGUGUGAGAGGAAACACUGUGCAACUGACGAACAUAGUCAGCCUGCAGAAACCCAGCCUGCCACAAGGAGACGCAAGAGUGCGAUGAGCCAAGUAAAAACCUCCCUGGCUAAACAUUCCCCUAACCCAGACGACGCUUGCUCAAUUGUGCAUCGCCCUGUGGGACUCCCGGUCAAGGCCGGUUGUGACAUUGGCUGGGAUUGAACACAGAACAGUGAAAACUGGCUCUAACCAGAAUAGAAAGAGGAGUGGGAGACCCCAGUAAACAACUGAGCAAGAGAACAAGUACAUUAGAGUGUCUAGUUUGAAAAACAGACACCUCACAAGUCCUCAACUGGCAGCUUCAUUAAAUAAUACCCGCAAAACACCAGUCUCAUCGUCAACAGUGAAGAGGCGACUCCCGGGAUGCCGGCCUUCUAGGCAGAGUUCCUCUGUCCAGUGUCUGUGUUAUUUUGCCCAUCUUUUAUAAGAUAUGUCUAAGAUCUUUUAUUUUUAUUGGCCAGGUCUGAGAUAAGGCUUUUUCUUUGAAACUCUGCCUGGAAGGCCAGCAUCCUGGAAUACGAUAGAUACUCAAAGGCGUCGACUGCAUUCCUAAGGUGGAGACGAGGUUGGAAAUAGUGUGUGGGGUUGUUGCAUUUUACAGUUAUUACAUUUUACUGUUGUUAUUACAUUUUACUGUUGUUAUUACAUUUUACUGUUGUUAUUACAUUUUACUGUUGUUAUUGCAUUUUACUGUUGUUAAUACAUUUUACUGUUGUUAAUACAUUUUACUGUUGUUAAUACAUUUUACUGUUGUUAUUACAUUUUACUGUUGUUAUUGCAUUUUACUGUUGUUAAUACAUUUUACUGUUGUUAUUACAUUUUACUGUUGCUAUUGCAUUUUACUGUUGUUAAUACAUUUUACUGUUGUUAUUGCAUUUUACUGUUGUUAUUACAAUGUAUAUGGCCCUAAUGGCACCCUAUUCCCUAUAUAGUACACUGGCCCUGGUCAAAAUUUGUGCACUACAUAUAGGGAAUAGGGUGCCAUAGGGCUCUGGUCAAAAGUAGUGCACUAUAUAGGGAAUAGGGUGCCAUAGGGACCCCUGGUUCCAAUCCAUGCAACAGAUGGGAGGAAUAUGACAAUUUAAUGUGGAAUUGGCAUGAUCAACUCAAUAGUCGGUAGUAAUAUAAAUUAUUCAGUUACAGGGUUCAAAAGGUGAAAAGGAAGAACUGUACUCACUGAAAUAAAAUACAUUUUCAUGAA
rnacentral:lncRNA from 1 species